rnacentral:rRNA from 1 species
AAAAACAUGUCUUUUUGUUUUUGAUUUAAGGUCUGACCUGCCCAAUGAUUAGUAUUUAAUGGCUGCAGUAUUUUGACUGUACAAAGGUAGCAUAAUCAUUAGUUUCUUAAUUGGAAGCUGGAAUGAAUGGUUUGAUGAAAAAUUUACUGUCUCAAUUUAAUUGUUUUGGAAUUUUAUUUUUAAGUGAAAAAGCUUAGAUUUUUUAAGAAGACGAGAAGACCCUAUAGAGUUUUAUGUAUUUAGAAUUAUUUUUUUUUGAUUUUAUUGUUUUUAAUUUCUUGUUACAUUUUGUUGGGGUGAUGCGAAAAUUUUUUUAACUUUUCUUAAUUUUUACACUAGUUAGUGAUUUAAUGAUCCUUUUUGGAUUAUAAGAUUAAAUUACCUUAGGGAUAACAGCGUAAUUUUUUUUGAAAGCUCUUAUUGAUAAAAAAGUUUGCGACCUCGAUGUUGGAUUAAAGUUUAUUUUUGGUGUAGAAGCUAGAAAAUUGGGUCUGUUCGACU